rnacentral:rRNA from 1 species
GAUGAACGCUGGCGGCGUGCCUAAUACAUGCAAGUCGAGCGAACGGACGAGAAGCUUGCUUCUCUGAUGUUAGCGGCGGACGGGUGAGUAACACGUGGAUAACCUACCUAUAAGACUGGGAUAACUUCGGGAAACCGUAGCUAAUACCGGAUAAUAUUUUGAACCGCAUGGUUCAAAAGUGAAAGACGGUCUUGCUGUCACUUAUAGAUGGAUCCGCGCUGCAUUAGCUAGUUGGUAAGGUAACGGCUUACCAAGGCAACGAUGCAUAGCCGACCUGAGAGGGUGAUCGGCCACACUGGAACUGAGACACGGUCCAGACUCCUACGGGAGGCAGCAGUAGGGAAUCUUCCGCAAUGGGCGAAAGCCUGACGGAGCAACGCCGCGUGAGUGAUGAAGGUCUUCGGAUCGUAAAACUCUGUUAUUAGGGAAGAACGUAUGUGUAAGUAACUGUGCACAUCUUGACGGUACCUAAUCAGAAAGCCACGGCUAACUACGUG